UACGUAGGGCGCAAGCGUUAUCCGGAAUUAUUGGGCGUAAAGAGCUCGUAGGCGGUUUGUCGCGUCUGCCGUGAAAGUCCGGGGCUCAACUCCGGAUCUGCGGUGGGUACGGGCAGACUAGAGUGAUGUAGGGGGAGACUGGAAUUCCUGGUGUAGCGGUGAAAUGCGCAGAUAUCAGGAGGAACACCGGUGGCGAAGGCGGGUCUCUGGGCAAUAACUGACGCUGAGGAGCGAAAGCGUGGGGAGCAAACAGG
rnacentral:rRNA from 1 species